GAGGCUGAGACAGCGCUGGGCCUGGAGGAGGGAGCUAGGGGGUAGCCCCGCCCAGCCUGUGCCCAAGUACAGAACGCAGGAUGAGCACCCCCACCACCACCCCGUGCCCGUGCGGGCCAGGCCAGUCUUCAGAGUUCAGAGUGGGGUCAAGGAAGAGGACGGCUCUGUGUCUGCACCUGGGGCCCUGCGUGGAACUGAGAGAACCCUGGCCCCCUGCCCUGGGGAGUCUGAGGGGUCCCAUCCAACCUCUUGUCCCUUCUCUGUGACGGCUGACACCUGGACCUGGCGAGCGGGCCAGAGCAGCUCCUCAAGUUUUCCGGCACCUUCCACCCACAGAGGCUGUAGAGACGGGGUGUGGGGCCCAUGCUGAUUCUCCCCAGGCCACCUGCCUGACCACAACAAAGCCUGUCCACCUGCCUAGCCAAGGUUCACCUCGUUCUCCAGAGUUGUCCUCAGGAACAGCCAGCAUUUCUCAGAGGGCCUGACGGUGACACAGGCCCAGCACUGGGGGGACAGGAGGUGAAGAGGUGCACGGACACAGAGAUACAUGGACGGAGCCGGGGCAGGCCGGUGGGCAGCAGAGUGCCCCCUCCUAAGUUCCAGGACACAAUCCCACACUCUUCCUGAACUCAGAACCUGUAAAUCCACAAGGAGAGACCAGCACCUGGCCUUGGCCUCUGAGUGCAGCUCAGCGUGAGGUCGAGAUCCCCGACCCCCCUGCGCCCACCCUGCGCCCAUCCUGCGCCCCGGGCAGGUCCUACGGGCAGAUACGAAAAGUGGAAAUAAACCUUCCCUGUUUCA